ensembl:lncRNA
CUCUGUUUUGGAGGCAUCUCUGUUUUGGAGGUAUCUCUGUUUUGGAGGCAUCUCUGUUUUGGAGGCAUCUCUGUUUUGGAGGUAUCUCUGUUUUGGAGGCAUCUCUGUUUUGGAGGUAUCUCUGUUUUGGAGGUAUCUCUGUUUUGGAGGCAUCUCUGUUUUGGAGGUAUCUCUGUUUUGGAGGUAUCUCUGUUUUGGAGGUAUCUCUGUUUUGGAGGUAUCUGUUUGACUGUCCCAAUUCAUACUGUAAUUCAAGGUUUAGUUCAGCAACAAUUUGGAGAAGAAAGAAAGAAAGAACGAAGGAUGGAAGUAGUGGUAUGGUGCCAGAUAAGACAGAGGGUAUGACCUGCCAACAUGAGGUGAAGAAAACACACUGGAAAACUGUACACAUUGUGUCCCAGAGAAGACACGAAGGCUUCAGCAAUGUUGUUCUGGGUCAGGAUAAGGUGAGAGGGCUUGUGUAUGAGUGGGUAGUGUGUGAUUCUGAGCACUACAGCACUCCUAUUGUGUAGAAGUGAAUGGAGAAUCCCUGAACUCUGGGGUCUUCUUGAGCAAUGGUUCAUGUGCUUAGUGUUGUUACUGCAGCAAGAUGUCAACAUGACUCCAUGUCUUGUCUCAAUUCAGAGGAAAGCAGCUCUUCAAGCGAAGAUUAAGUCACAAAUCAAUGGUUUCUUUUUCCUCUUCUGAAAAUCAACAACCUUCUCUAUAUAUCUGCUGGAAGAUCUGAGAGCAACAGAUGCAGCCUUCUUUCUUUGAACUGAACGGUGAUGGUAAUGGAGUGCACACUUGUCUAUUCCUGUUAGUUUGUGGUACAAUAUUUAUUGUUAUAGAAAUUAUUUACAUUUGUGAAUACGCAAAUUGUAAUGUAUUGUCAUUUUAUGUGUAUUUAUUUGAUUUGGUCUAUUUAUUUAAAAAAACAAUUAAAUGUAUAUUUAGUAAAUCAAAAAAUGCAACCCUGCUGGUCGAUCAUGGCCAUAAAGAUUUAAAAUAGGAAGUCUUCUACAUCAAUAUUUAAAAAGCUAUUUAGACAACUGUCCACACUUGAUUAUUUUAUAUAUCUUAUUUUAUUUUAAAUAAUUUGUAAACAUUUUUAAUUGCAAAUAUUUUAUAAAUGACAAUGUUUUGAUAAUUUUAUAAAGGUUUUCUCCUUCAUUUAUGCUAUUUCUUUUAUCUGUGUCUUCAGAUACCCACGGCUUAAAAAGAAAGUAUGUAUUUAUUAUUUAUUUCAUAUUAAAUAUUGAUAUGAUUGUAUAUUUAUUUUGUUAUUUAUGUGUGUGUUGUGAUGGCUGAGUAUCAGUAGUGUUAAAAUCCAUUUCUAAUAUUUAAAUACAAUUUUAAAAACCAUGCUCAGAAAGAAUAAAUAGAAUAUUGUUUGAUUACUUAGGCUUUCCUAGAUAUAUCAGCAGUUGUAAAAGCAAAAUAACUAACGAAAGCAAUCACUGUUCUGGUGGUGUCAGAGUGGCUUUGUGUCAUCGAUGAUUUAUUUGCUUUUUGUCAGGAAAAAUAAGACUAAGAAAAUAGACAGAUAUAAGGAUCAAAUGUUACCUCUCCAAGCGCUUUGUAGCGGCCAACACUGGCUUACCCAAAACAUCUUUAAUGUACUAUAGAUGUUUUAAUGCCUUUUGAUAAAUUAUUUUUCUCUUGUCAUUAUUUUCUCUCAAUGUGUUGAGCAGAAGCUCCAAAGAGCUCUGUUCCGGAAUGUUCCGUCUAGACUGGAUGUCUGGGUCUAAGACAUGUAAAGGACAUCUUCAAGAAAAAACUAAACCAUCAAGGAGGAUGACCUCUUUGACAAUUUAUAUCACAUCCACUUCUACGCCCUUGUAGCCUUAUUCUAGAUGACAUUUGUUGAUGCACAAAGUGCCACUACCACUCAGUUUCUUUCCUGAUUCUUUGCAUUCUGCAAUGUACGAUGUCUGGUCACAUGACAUGACCAGGGCGUCACAUGACAUGACCGAGAGUUGGGAUUGUUUCAGAUGCCUUUAUUUCUUUGCCAAGAUGGCCAUAAGUACACUAUAUAUACAUUCUGUAUAAAUAGAAUUUCAAAUGCUAUAUAUAUAUAUAUAUAUAUAUAUAUAUAUAUGAAUAGAAACAUACAUAUAUUUUUCCAGUGUAAUUGUUGACUAUUUUUCUCUUGUAUUAGCUUAUCAAAGGAACAGUAGUUGUUUGAGAGUUGUGACGACUAGAGGUGGUUAUGACUGUGGUUUUAAAGAUACUCAACAAAACCGUCAUUGUUUUUUAGGUUUCCUUUUCUUCUCUAUCCUUGAUCCAAACAUGAUGACGAUAAUAAUAAUAACAAUACAUGGGACUUAUAUAGUGCUUUUUCAAGGACCCAAAGUCGACAUGUUGUAAAUGCUAACGUCUGUUGUAAUGAAUCUGAAAUGACUGUCGUUUUAACUAAAUGGUUGGCUCUUUGUUCAAGUGUCGUGUGAGUGAGUUCAUGUAUAGAGGACUCUUCAUAGUAGUCACAUUGGCUAUAUUGUGCAGUACUGUGUCGUUAUGAUAAGGUUAUGAUCAUGUCAGCCCACUGAGCGGAGUUUUUAAACACGGAUCACAAUGUUAAAAAGCCAAUAGGGAAAGUGUAGUAGAUAGAUAAUAUGAUGAGGUAACCUAGUGGGAGACCCUGUGAUAAUAUGAUGAGGUAACCUAGUGGGAGACCCUGUGAUAAUAUGAUGAGGUAACCUAGUGGGAGACCCUGUGAUAAUAUAAUGAGGUAGCCUAGUGGGAGACCCUGUGAUAAUAUGAUGAGGUAACCUAGUGGGCGACCCUGUGAUAAUAUGAUGAGGUAACCUAGUGGGAGACCCUGUGAUAAUAUGAUGAGGUAACCUAGUGGGAGACCCUGUGAUAAUAUGAUGAGGUAACCUAGUGGGAGACCCUGUGAUAAUAUAAUGAGGUAACCUAGUGGGAGACCCUGUGAUAAUAUAAUGAGGUAACCUAGUGGGAGACCCUGUGAUAAUAUGAUGAGGUAACCUAGUGGGAGACCCUGUGAUAAUAUGAUGAGGUAACCUAGUGGGAGACCCUGUGAUAAUAUGAUGAGGUAACCUAGUGGGAGACCCUGUGAUAAUAUAAUGAGGUAACCUAGUGGGCAUGGAUGGUGUAAUUAGCUUUUAGCCAGUGUAAUGAAACUCUCUUGGGCACUUUUUUAAAAACCAUUGAAUAUGCGAGCAUUUGAGUUUGGACUUUUUAGAACACACUGGGUUUUGGUCACUAGCAAAGUACCGGUAUUCACCCCAGCAGAAGAAACAAAGAACUGCAUAUUUGACCUGUUUUGUUAUAUUUAAUGUAAAUCUAAACACUGAUAUGUAGAAUGCCCUUUGCAUCAGUGUCCGGAGGGUUGAUUCAAUUGAUGGUAUCAGGUUUUUAUACAUGCCAGUAAUACUCUUCACACCAUACAAGGGGAAGCAGAGUUUGGCUCGCAGGUUACUGGAAAGAACUGACUAAAUCUGCAUAAUAAUAUGAUACUAGGGCAUUAGCCAAAGCCUGCGGCGAUAGCAGGGAUUGGAUCAAGCCCUCCAAGUGAAAAGAGAGGAACGUGUGGGAGUGGAGAUUGAAUUGCUGCAUUAGAGGUCUCCCUCUUGGUUUGGAAGAGGUGUUUGUUGCAUAAAUAUGUGUCCAUUACUCAGAAUGUCAAAACCUUUUAAUGGCUUCUCCCCUUCUGUAUUGUGUAACCUUUACUCAGGAAGGAGUUCUUGAUGCAUUUAGUUAAGAAAGUAGCUUAUUCUUCUCCCAACCCUUUAAUGCAUGAGCUUACAACACUACGAGAGUAUGAAGGUUGUGAUCAUUAGCGUAUCUUUUUUGAUAUGGCAUGACCCCUUUGAAACUAGUUGAACAGCACUGAGAUACUGAGAUUAAAUAGCAAAAUGACAGUCCAACACAGUUAUAAAGAUUAGGUACAGAACUCAAUGUAAUCAAGAGUGUUAACAACAACAGCUUGUCCGUUUGAUAGGGAGUGAUGGACAUAUUCUUCAUAUAAGGAGUUUAUGUGUUCCGUAUUCGUGAUGGUUCAGUAUUUUCUAAAUGGUCCAUUGGGAUGGGAUAGAAGCUCUGAAGCUGGACUGUGUUCCAUUGACACGGACCAGGGUGUUUGACUGGUCGGUUAAAUGCAUGGUCAUGUUAACGUUCAUGACUGCUGAUGAAAUGUGAUGGAGGAACAUGGAUGGUAUGUGAUUGUACCAUGGUAUGUGAUUGUACCAUGGCAUGUGAUUGUACCAUGGCAUGUGAUUGUACCAUGGUAUGUGAUUGUACCAUGGUAUGUGAUUGUACCAUGGCAUGUGAUUGUACCAUGGUAUGUGAUUGUACCAUGGUAUGUGAUUGUACCAUGGUAUGUGAUUGUACCAUGGCAUGUGAUUGUACCAUGGCAUGUGAUUGUACCAUGGCAUGUGAUUGUACCAUGGCAUGUGAUUGUACCAUGGCAUGUGAUUGUACCAUGGUAUGUGAUUGUACCAUGGUAUGUGAUUGUACCAUGGUAUGUGAUUGUACCAUGGCAUGUGAUUGUACCAUGGUAUGUGAUUGUACCAUGGCAUGUGAUUGUACCAUGGCAUGUGAUUGUACCAUGGCAUGUGAUUGUACCAUGGCAUGUGAUUGUACCAUGGCAUGUGAUUGUACCAUGGCAUGUGAUUGUACCAUGGCAUGUGAUUGUACCAUGGCAUGUGAUUGUACCAUGGUAUGUGAUUGUACCAUGGCAUGUGAUUGUACCAUGGCAUGUGAUUGUACCAUGGUAUGUGAUUGUACCAUGGUAUGUGAUUGUACCAUGGCAUGUGAUUGUACCAUGGUAUGUGAUUGUACCAUGGCAUGUGAUUGUACCAUGGCAUGUGAUUGUACCAUGGUAUGUGAUUGUACCAUGGUAUGUGAUUGUACCAUGGUAUGUGAUUGUACCAUGGCAUGUGAUUGUACCAUGGCAUGUGAAAACGAUCCUUUUCAGUUGAUAGUUGUGAAUGAUGUGGUCUCAUGUAGUGGUUGUAAAAACACAGUGUGUCUGUUUGCUCUGAUAAACAAUGAUCACAUACCUGUGAAUCUCCCUGAAUAAUGGUACAUAUAUUUAAAAAAAAAAAAAAAAAAAUUAAAACAAUGACCUAAUAUGUUAGUCUGUGACAGGCCAGGAUACACAGAGAUCCCGUGUCUUCUCUUUCCAGGCCUGCUUCACCAGUUAAAGGGAGGACAGGCAAGGCCACAUUCGAGUACCCUGUGAACACGAGGGAAGAUAGCCCAAAGUUCCCUAUUCCGAGCUAGGUGCUGUACACAUCUGGAGGCCCCUGAGAAUGGUCCCCUGAUUCUGUUCUCUUCAGGGAAAGACAAGGGAGGGACCCAAUCGUUUGGUGUCUAUACUUCAAAACAUUCUCAUCCAAUUCAGAAACUCAAAAAUGAAAAAAUACAUUUAAAAAAAUCAAAGUAGAUCACAUGAAAGGCAGAAAGGCAUGUCUAGUAGAAUGGUAUAACAUGUCAUUGAGCUAAUCAAACCAAAACCAAACUCCCUCUGUAGGUACUGUAGCUUAAAGCUGUGUGCUUUUAUCAUGUGUGCCUUUCUCUCUCCACUCAUUGCAGGCAAAGGUAUGUUUACAUUUGAAGAAGCUGGUACAAAAUCCUGCUCAAGAGGUUGGCAGGGGUGAAGACGGCUUUUUCAGGGGAUAAGGGAGGGUUUGGGUGGCUAUUCUAAAAAAGCUGAUUAAAUAUAUGUCUUUGACAGGCAGGCAGGCCUGUUGCCGUGGUGACACAUUCACGCUGUUACAGAGACACAAAACAUCAAUAUGUUAUAAUGGUAAAGAAACUGUGACCUAAUUACGACGAUUCAGGUACCAAACUGCAUGGACAGUUUCUGUGAAGGAAAAAAAUCUAAUGAAAAUCAACUUUAUUAUAGACAAUGCAUUAGUGUGUAGGGCAUUAUUUUUUAAACAAGUUGAAACCUCUGUAUAUAUUUGUAUUAAAGAACAGUGUUAUUGUUGUUGUAUUAAAGAAAAGUUCAACAAAAAAAAGUACAUAGAGUUAGUGACAAAAUGCACAGCCAAGGGUUGUCCUGCUAGCCAAUUUUUACAGAGAGAUUUCUAUUGGCCAUUUUCUAGGCAUUCAUAUUAUUAAUAUCCUUUUGGAAAUUACAAACUUCCAAAAUUACAAGCACUUCCACAAUGAUAGAUAGUAAGGAGUUUUGUUACUUUUGUAGAGGUGGUUGUUCCUUUGCUACCAGACAACUCUUGGCUAUGUGUUCUCUGGGUCUCCUGUUAUCUUUUGGAAGUUAACUCUGUAGUUGGGCUGAAAUUGUGACUCUGCAUUUGUUCCCAUGUUCCUGUGUCAAUGUCAUAAACUAGAGAAGUGAUGUCAGUUAUUGUGGGCGUUUUAAUGUUAUCAAUAAUAAUAAAAAAUAAUAAAAACAUUAAUAAAGAAUUAUAGACAAUA